AUUAAUUUAAAUCUAAAUAUCAGAAUUUAAAUCUAAAUGUAGAUUUGUGUAGAUUUGUGCAUAUAUAUAUAUAUAUUGCAUAAUAAAUAAGCAAGGCUAUGCACAAAACUUCCAGUGCAAAAUAUUGCUGAGUGAAAUAUUGCUGAGUGACUUUUCCUUUCUCUUGUGGAAAUUGUGAGAAUUGACUAGGAAUAUGUGAGAAGAUGAAGGUUUAGCCGAGUUCACAGGCCAUGAAUCUGCAGUGAAGAGCAAGCGAAAGCAAGAUCCUGGAAGAUACUGGCAAGUGGCCGGAUCACAGAAUCCAGGUUAGAAAGGGGGGAAAAAAAGGUCAAGAG
rnacentral:lncRNA from 1 species